rnacentral:rRNA from 1 species
CACAUGCAAGUCGAGCGGCAGCGGGAAGAUAGCUUGCUAUCUUUGCCGGCGAGCGGCGGACGGGUGAGUAAUGCCUAGGGAUCUGCCCAGUCGAGGGGGAUAACAGUUGGAAACGACUGCUAAUACCGCAUACGCCCUACGGGGGAAAGGAGGGGACCUUCGGGCCUUCCGCGAUUGGAUGAACCUAGGUGGGAUUAGCUAGUUGGUGAGGUAAUGGCUCACCAAGGCGACGAUCCCUAGCUGUUCUGAGAGGAUGAUCAGCCACACUGGGACUGAGACACGGCCCAGACUCCUACGGGAGGCAGCAGUGGGGAAUAUUGCACAAUGGGGGAAACCCUGAUGCAGCCAUGCCGCGUGUGUGAAGAAGGCCUUCGGGUUGUAAAGCACUUUCAGUAGGGAGGAAAGGUAAUAGCUUAAUACGCUGUUGCUGUGACGUUACCUACAGAAGAAGGACCGGCUAACUCCGUGCCAGCAGCCGCGGUAAUACGGAGGGUCCGAGCGUUAAUCGGAAUUACUGGGCGUAAAGCGUGCGCAGGCGGUUUGUUAAGCGAGAUGUGAAAGCCCCGGGCUCAACCUGGGAAUUGCAUUUCGAACUGGCGAACUAGAGUCUUGUAGAGGGGGGUAGAAUUCCAGGUGUAGCGGUGAAAUGCGUAGAGAUCUGGAGGAAUACCGGUGGCGAAGGCGGCCCCCUGGACAAAGACUGACGCUCAGGCACGAAAGCGUGGGGAGCAAACAGGA